UUAAAAGCCCAACAAAAUUUAAUUGAAGCCCAACUAACCAAAACAUCCCAUUUAAUUUAAUAGGCCCACUUCCUUUAAACAAACAAAGGCCCAAUUUAUUUAACUCCCACAUCCCCCACGCCUCUCUCUUCCUCUCUCUCUAACUCUCUACUUCUCUCUCUCGUCGACAAAAUUGGGGAUUUUCCCAGAAUUUCCUUCGCCUUCCCGAUUCACUCCACGCCGUCGGCCGCUGCUCGCCGAGAAGACAUGACGCUGCCGCCUCGGUGCUGUCGGUGCAGUCUUCGGGUCAGCCUUCGCCAGCCUCCGUCGAUUCAACGUUGCUGCUGCCGUCGCGCUCCUCCGUCGGUUCUCCCCUCCGUCGCCCGACGCCCCAAGGUAAGUUCUUAACUUGAUUUCAGUUCUUUACAGGUUCGAUCUUUAAUUUGGUUGCUUCGAUUUAUUCGAUUCAUUGAUUUCAGAUCGUAGUUAUUGUUUUGAUUGUGCGAUUUGAUCGGUGAUGCUGGUUGAUUGAAUUAUGUGGGGAGUGAAGUAGGAUGAUGUGUUGGGAGCAAAAUGCAAUAAUUCACGUUUUAAAAAAAAAUUGGGUAGGAAAAAAAAUACCUUGAACAGAUUUCAAAAGAACAACCGGUAGCUCCUUCUCUCGAAUUUGGAUUCUUGGUUUCUUGAAUUUGAUUGAGUAGAAGUUGAGAAGAAUAAAUCUUGUUCUUGUUGCAGAAGAAUGAAAUAGGAGAAAACUAAUUUGUGAAAGAGUAUUAUAGAGGGGAGGUUGUUGAUAGAUAUGGGAGAGAUUUGCAUAAAAGUACAUAUACAUAAAAGAUGGCAAGUGGCGUGUAAAGAAAUCAUCACUUUAGAAAAGCAGAAGAAGAAAAAGAGAAGCUUAAAGAUAAAGAGAAGCGUAAAGAUGAAGAGCGCAAGGAGCGUAGGAGAACAAAAGAAAGGGAGAAAAAGGUAUAAUCGGUUCAAGUUCGUGGCCGUCCGUGCUGAAGUACCCGAUUUUCUUAGAACGCAUGAUGUAUAGAUUAAAUUUUGUUGGACUUUUGUUGGAUGUAUCAGACAUUAAAAUUUUGAUUUUGGGAUCUUAUUUAUUUAUUUAUUAUAUUCA